rnacentral:lncRNA from 1 species
CAAAUGAUACGUCAUUAUGGGACAAUGACAUUUAUCGAGUGGAGGUCAUUGUGUGCCAUAUGAGUUGGUUGUCCUCUUAACCAAAGAGUGUGGUGAUACUAAUAUGGCAUAUAGGUGAGAUGUAAGGGUACAUCAUUACUGAACAAAUGAUUCACCUGCUGAGCAUUCUGCUAUCAAAAACUGCUCGCGAAACACAUAGGUAUAAGUGUCAUUCAGACC